AUGCACGCUGGCGGCGUGCCUAAUACAUGCAAGUCGAGCGAACGGACGAGAAGCUUGCUUCUCUGAUGUUAGCGGCGGACGGGUGAGUAACACGUGGAUAACCUACCUAUAAGACUGGGAUAACUUCGGGAAACCGGAGCUAAUACCGGAUGAUAUUUUGAACCGCAUGGUUCCAAAGUGAAAGACGGUCUUGCUGUCACUUAUAGAUGGAUCCGCGCUGCAUUAGCUAGUUGGUAAGGUAACGGCUUACCAAGGCAACGAUGCAUAGCCGACCUGAGAGGGUGAUCGGCCACACUGGAACUGAGACACGGUCCAGACUCCUACGGGAGGCAGCAGUAGGGAAUCUUCCGCAAUGGGCGAAAGCCUGACGGAGCAACGCCGCGUGAGUGAUGAAGGUCUUCGGAUCGUAAAACUCUGUUAUUAGGGAAGAACAUAUGUGUAAGUAACUGUGCACAUCUUGACGGUACCUAAUCAGAAAGCCACGGCUAACUACGUG
rnacentral:rRNA from 1 species